rnacentral:tRNA from 1 species
UGCGACAUGGUGUAAGGGUAGCACAGGAGGCUCAUAUCCUCCAAGAGCGGGUUCGACUCCCGCUGUCGCCU